rnacentral:lncRNA from 1 species
GUUGGGAUGGCUACAUUGUGCACGAGGGUUUUAAUUCUUUGGAUUGUCGAAAGAUGACAAAAAGGGAAUGGAUAUUCCAGAUCGUGUUAUGUCACUUCCACUGGAAAUUUUCUUAUUAGAAGACUUCCUGAUCCAUGUGCUAAAGAGGAUGAAACUCUGUGAUUGAUUGAUUUAACUGUGUGGAAUCCCACAUAGCAAAUCUUAAAAUAGAAGUGGAAAACCAUCCUGGGGAAUUCAAGACAGUCAAUGCGAUUUAUCAUUCAUAAAGGAUACCUUUAAUGAGUUGCUCUGCAGACACUGGCAGAGUUGUAGCUAUAGCCGGGAUCGGAGUGAAGAAGAAAUUUCUGUCUUGUGUUCUUGACACACAUGGCAGAAGCAAAUGAAAAGGCCCAAAGGGUGUCUUCCUUUCACUUUCAGUUCACAAUACAGUAGCUGCCCUUGCCUAUGAGUUCCGUCCAAUAUAAGCUUAAACUCCGGCCCCGGCAAUGGGCUAGCUGAG